UUCGCAAUGCCCGAAAGGGUGACGAAGCGACGCCGCGUGGGUGAGGAAGGCCUUCGGGUUGUAAAGCCCUGUCAGGAGUUAAGAAAUGUAAGUGCGCUAAUAUCGCAUUUACUUGACGAAGGCUCCAAAGGAAGUCACGGCUAACUCUGUGCCAGCAGCCGCGGUAAUACAGAGGUGGCAAGCGUUGUUCGGAAUUAUUGGGCGUAAAGAGCACGUAGGUGGGUUUGUAAGUCAGAUGUGAAAGCCUUCUGUUCAACGGAAGAAUUGCAUCUGAAACUGCGAGUCUUGAGUGUAGGAGGGGAGAAUGGAACUUCUGGUGGAGCGGUGAAAUGCGUAGAUAUCAGAAGGAACGCCGGCGGCGAAAGCGAUUCUCUGGCCUAUUACUGACACUCAGUGUGCGAAAGCUAGGGGAGCAAACGGGAUUAGAUACCCCGGUAGUCCUAGCCGUAAACGAUGGGCACUAAGUAGAGGGGUUUUA
rnacentral:rRNA from 1 species